rnacentral:tRNA from 1 species
GAGGGUGCAGCUCAGUGGUAGGCUGCAUGCUUUGCAUUCAUGAAGUCUUGGGUUCAAUCCCCAACACCUCCA